AGUGAACGCUGGCGGUAGGCCCAACACAUGCAAGUCGAACGGCAGCACAGUAAGAGCUUGCUCUUACGGGUGGCGAGUGGCGGACGGGUGAGGAAUACAUCGGAAUCUACUUUUUCGUGGGGGAUAACGUAGGGAAACUUACGCUAAUGCCGCAUACGACCUACGGGUGAAAGCAGGGGAUCUUCGGACCUUGCGCGAUUGAAUGAGCCGAUGUCGGAUUAGCUAGUUGGCGGGGUAAAGGCCCACCAAGGCGACGAUCCGUAGCUGGUCUGAGAGGAUGAUCAGCCACACUGGAACUGAGACACGGUCCAGACUCCUACGGGAGGCAGCAGUGGGGAAUAUUGGGCAAUGGGCGCAAGCCUGACGCAGCCAUGCCGCGUGGGUGAAGAAGGUCUUCGGGUUGUAAAGCCCUGUUGUUGGGAAAGAAAAGCAGCAGGUUAAUACCCCGCUGUUCUGACGGUACCCAAAGAAUAAGCACCGGCUAACUUCGUG
rnacentral:rRNA from 1 species